rnacentral:lncRNA from 1 species
GUUAAUCCCGAUAUCUAGGCCAAAUAUCUCUCCAUUCCGGGUCAUCUUCUCUUAUAUCUCUCUUUCGGCUGAUUUAAAGAAUUGUAACCCUCAUUCUUUUCCCUAUCUCUCUUCAGCAACUCCAUAACAAUCGACCACCACGAACAGAAAAAACACCAUCAAAACCACCACUUAUUGCCAUCGGUAAACCUUAUUUUGGUCACCUGUCAGAUUUUCUCAACUUCUUUAUGCCUCUUUUGAAACAAAGGUAUGCAGAGUUUGUUAUCAAGUUCAAAUAUGUUGCAGAUUCCAUUUUUGUGCAUUUGUUUGUGAUUUUUGUUGCUUGAUUCUUUCACCUUUUUUACAAGCUCUAAAUGAAAAUCUGUAUUAUUUUGAUUUUUCAAUCCAGAGCAGGAAUGGUUCAAAUCGAGCACCAGGUUUGAUCUUUUUACUUUCUUUAUUAUUGUUGUUAUCUAAUUUCCCAGGUUUGAUUUUAUUUAUCAUCACUUUUGUCAAUUGCUUUUACCCCCACACUCACCACCUUCUAUUUCUCUUACGCUUCCUCUAUUUAAGAAAAACCCUAAAACGUCACGCACCACCAUUUACCAUUGUCAUCCUCACCUUUUCGCACUUAGGCUUCUCCCCAACGUUUCUGGCCCCAUAGAUUCAUUUUGAUUUUAACACGAUUUGAAAGAAAUAAUUUUUUUUGUCAAUAUGGUUCCAAUACAAGUGCUAUACUUGAAUUUUCUUCGUUUAAUUAAAUCCUUCUAUGUCAGUGUUAAGAUAUAUCAAAGAAGCUUUAUUUUUUAAUUAGUAGUAUUGGGGAUAAGUGGAUUGUUUUUUUUUUUAAUUUUUUUUCAAUGGGGCUAAAUGUUUAGUUGAAUCAAAGACGAUCAAUCAAGUGUGAUAAUGUAUAAUUAUAACCCUUUUCCUUUCCUUCUUUCUGCUUGCUAAUUUUUUAAUAGUUCGAUAGAUGAAUGUUAUAUAUCUGACCUUUUAGUGGCAGUUCAUGAAGCUUUAUCAAUAUGUAUCCAUGGUGGAGUGAUUUGGAUGUCAACAUGUUAACCAUGGGCUUUUUGAAUUUCACUUUUAGGUCGGAGAAUAUAAAGGGACAUUGAACAUAUGGAGUUGUGGUUUUAUGAAGGGUAAAUUUGUCAUUUUUUGGUCUAUUAGGCUACUAGCUAUCUAGAGAGAAUUAUACUACUUUAUCUGUCAAAGCAAUUUCAGUAACAGCCUACCCAAUUUAGUCCAUAUGUUAAGGAUUUGAAUUCUGAUCUACUAAAGUUUGCUUCAACUUUCAUAUUCACAUAUUCAUAUUUGUCCAUGAAGUAGUUACUGUAGAAAAUUUUGAUCAUGUAGUAGCUACUACAGAAAAGUUUGAUGAAGUUGUUCUGAAAUCAAUUUGGUAAGGUCCUUUUCUUUCUUUAUUUUAAUUGCUUUUGAACCUAAUGUACAUUUUCUUUUGUAAAACAUUCAAUUUUAAAACAUGUUUUUUUUAUGUUUUUUUACAUGUUAAUGACAAUUGAGCAAACUGAAAAUAUAAGAAGGUAUAUUUGUGGCAAAAGGUGAUGAUAAAGAAGUAGUUCUCAGUGAUUUCAGUUUCUACAACUUUAGUGUUUGAUGACUUAAUGCCCAUGUUUAUGAUUUAUUUACUAAAUGUGAUUUUAAUGUUAAUUAUUGGAAAUUGGAAUAUAGAUAUGAUGUUGUGGAAGAAGAAACCAUGUCCAUUAUGCCCUCAAAGAAUAGUCCAGCCACCAUAGUUAAAGGUCAAAUGAACCUCAAGGCAUUCUUUCUUGCUCCUCCAAUGAAUCAUAAAUACCAGCAUUAUUUGUUAAAAAUUACUAAAGUUUCAUUUUUUUAACGUAUUAACUAAUUUUCAUAUUAACUUAACAAUAAUAUUUAUUUUAGACAAUGUAUUAAGUAGGAAUUUACAAAAUAAACAUUAAGC